AUUGAUAUUUGCAUUCAGUUCCGGUUCAGUAAAAGAAUAACGUGAGCAAACCAUGGUGUCGCGUUAUUAUUAUUCUGGCCGCAGACACAACAAUUCUCGAGCAUCGGAAUUGGACAGCAGUGGGGAUUUCUCGGUUAGAGGUAGCUCCUACAGUUAUAGUUCCCAGUCACCUAUGUCCCUGGCGCCUGCAGAAAUGUUGUCAACUGAACAAGCUGCUCCACCUAGUGUACAAGCACCAAACUUCUUCAUCACCAACAGAAGCCACAUGUAUGCCUUCAUGCCCAAUGGUGGUACACAGAUUAGCAGCAGCAAGCAGAAUGAUCCAAGUUUCAAAAUACCCACUUCACGUGCUGCACAGCCUGGCCCAUCCUUUGUUAAUUUCCAUGUGCCGGUUGUUCAUGGGACUCGACAUUAUGCCCCUGGCAGUAAAAGGGUAACAACGAGGAUGGAUGAGACGCUCAGAGUAACUUGCAGCCCUCCGGCCACCUUUAAAAGUAAUGACGUCACUUUUAAGGCCAGGAGACUGACGGUUCAGUGGACCAAUGGGAAACUGAGGAUGGACCUGAGGAGAGACAGCGCGAGAGAUAAAAAAAAAAAGAAGCAAAACACAGACACAGCCAUACCACCACUAAAAGAAAAAAAGAAGUCAUGAUAAGUGUCAGUUUAUAUUAAUGUACUGUGUCAUCAGUCAGGUUGAGAUGAUUUUCUUUACAAUGUUACAUCGAAACAAAAAAGGUGUGUCCUAUAAAUUAUGAAGAUGUGUUUGGUGUUUUUAGACCACUUUACUUUCUGCAAAUUUACAAACAGUCAAACAUUUUAAAAAAUCUUUUUAAAAAAUUGUGUAAAAACUACCUGAGGUACCUAGUAAAUCGCUUUAUAAAUGCUUAGAAUGGGUCAAAUGUGAAAAACAUUUGCAUUUUCAAAUAAUACAAUCUAGAAACCAGAACAUGCACAUAUUUAACAUGGUAUUUAAAUGAUUGGAACAAAUUGAUAAAAUAUAGUGCAUGUAUGUUAGAACAACAAGUUAUUGUUUACAAUACUAUAUAUCAGUUGGUUCUGAAUGCAGGCUGUGGACUUUUUUCUUUUUUUCAUUCAUUCAUUCAUUCAGAUUGAAACCAUUCCUUCCACUUGCAUGUGCAGAACAUGGCUUGACUGAACUGCUAAAAAAAAAAAAAUUGUAGUCUAGUUGGAUGUGAUCAUGCUCACGGGAGGGUCUUUGUUAUCGCUUCCUGGGAAGCUGCACGGGAAUGCCGUCGGAAGAAACAGUAUGUCAAAUGUCUUGAAAACCACGUUGCCGUGCUUGAGGAGGGGGAAAAAAAAAAGACACUCAAAGAACUCAAGGCCUUAAAAGACUUGUACUGCCACAAAACUGAAUAAGCAAAAACUGUCGGGGAUCACAUUUUAACGAUUGUGCUCUUUACAGAUUACUGAAUGCUGAAUGCACCCAAGCAAAAGCACUUUCACUCUGUUUAGUCACUGCUCGCAGAUGUAGAAAACAGGCCACAGAUGCAUUGUUUAUGUAGUUUUAUAUCUUGAUGACUGAAGAUUGUAUGUGUUAUGUGAUUGUCUAACAGAGCUGAUUUGCUGCACUGAAACAGUGAAUGUGUGGUAUUUUGCCUUUGUCACUUGUUCUUUUUUAGGAAUGCAGCUAAAGAGUGUCGCCGUAGAAAAAGAGAGUAUAUAAACUACCUAGAGGUCCAUGCUUCCAUACUGGAGCAGCAGAACAAGAAGCUCAUGGAAGAGCUAAAUUAUCUGAAGGGAAUCUGUGAACAGAAGCCAAGUUAGGUCUUAAAGGGAAGCUUCACAGGAAUACCGUAGAAAGCAGAAGGAACAUAUAAAAUCUCUGGAAAACCGCAUUGCUGACAUGCAAAAAGAAAACGAGACACUCAUACGGCAAAACCAUUUUGCUUACUUAGAGCUUGAAGUGACAAAGCUGAAGAGGAAAAAUGAGAAGCUAAAGAGGAAAAACAAGAAGCUCAAACAAAAGCAAACAAAAUCUUGAUGCAAUUAUCAGAAUCCAAGAUAUGUCACUAAGGUUAAAUUUGGUUAUAUUUAGUAAAUAUAUAGUAAUGUAUAAUGUAAUGUAGUUAUAUUAAUGUAGUAAUAUUUUAAUUCUAAAUAAAUAUAUUUUUGAAAAUUA